rnacentral:lncRNA from 1 species
ACGUAGGGAAUCAGUAACUUUUAAUAUUUGAUCUUCAGCACUUAAAAUAGGUUUUCCUUACUGCGUUUUGUCAUUGCUGAUUUAGAUAAAUCUUUACCUAUUUCUGCCUCUCAGACCUUGAGUGGGGGUUAAUGUGACCACGAUGGCAGUGGUAAUGAUAACAGCUCAUAUUUUCCAAGGCUGUGCUCUGCUCAAAAGUACUCUUACUGCUUCACAUUUAUUAGUCAUACAAUCCUCAUAAUACCUCUGAAAGGUAGGUUUUGUUAUCAGAAAUCUAUAGAUGAGGAAACAGGCACAGAGAGGUUAAGAAACCUGCCUGAGGGUAUGUAGCUAGGGAUGGAAAGAGCCAGGAUUUGAACCUCUGUCUUUUUAGCACUCGGUGGCUCUUAGUCACUGUGCCGUACUGUUAUUUCAAGUAAGAGUGUGGCCAGAGUGUAAAGACUGGAUUUUGAAUAUAGUUGGGGAAACAAACAGCAAAAUUAGGUUCACACUGCAUCCACAUGUCUUGUAAAUAGGAGUCUGACAUUUCGGUGUACAGAGACGUGUUGUUUAGGCAUCCAGGUGCCUGUUUGCUGUUUGUCCCUGCUCAUAGCCUCUCCACUCGGAAAUUGCAUUAUUUGCAGCGCUCUUCACUGUCAGCUCUGUUAGUGACUUAGCUUUCCACAUUGCCGCUAUUCAGAACCCUUGGCUUGAGACCGCCGAAGCUUACGCUCACCUCUCCUCAGCCUUCCUGUAACUGUGAAUCUUUGUUUUCUGUUUUGAACAGUCAGCCUUUCAGUCCUCGAUGGAGGUGCUCUUUACCCGCCCCCCCCAAACUCAGAAACCCUCUGUGGCAUUUUAUAACAACGGUCAAAAAAUUCGACCCUCUUCAUUGGCAUAACUGGAUCUUAGUGCACAAGUAACAAGAACCAAAGCACGGUAUUUUGGUUAAAUAGAUUGAUUUAUACUGAAAUUGGAAAAGGCAUCUGCUAUACAGGAUUUUGGAUUUAAUAGAAUUUGUUAUAACCAGAUCAGCAAAGUAUUAUUACUGUGGGCCAUCUGCUGGGAUAUGGAAAUAGCUUUGUUAUAUGGAACCAGAUGUAUUUAUAUUUAUAACACUGGCAUUCUACUUAUUUUAAGUAACCUUUCGUAGUUAGGUACCUUUGGCUGCUAUGACCUUUACUGGAUGUAUCAGCUGAUAAUCCGAAAAUGCAGUGUCUUUCAAAGUGGUUAUUACUUUUCUAUGCAAUUGAGAUAACACAACUGAAAUGGAGAGCAGAUGAGACUCAUGGUGUCAAACUUUAGUACUGUAACAAGAUAAACUGUAUGAAUAUGAUACAAGAUAAUUAGGAUCAUAUGCAAUAAGAAUUCUUACUUUUAAGCUUAGUUUCUAAUAAGUACUAAACCACUCUGAUGGCUUUAAGAAUUUUACUCUCUAAAUCUAAAGCAGUUUCACUUUGGUAUAAUCAGGUCUACAGUAACACUGCCUUGUCUGACUUAUUUCCCGUCAUCGGGGUAAAGUUGUCUGGAAAGGGAUAUAAUAAGAGGAACUAUCAUUAGAAAGUAGUCCUGGAGGACUGUCCUGAGUUGAAUGUUAACAGUUUGGAGAGGGGGAAGUCCUAGGAUGGGAGUUUUAGAGAGAGUGUAGGAACCUGGCUUGUGGGCUGUCUUUGUUUGGGCUCCCAUAACAAAAUACCACAGACUGGGGUCCAUCUGGAGCCUCUUUGAUAAGAGGCUAAUCCCAUUCGUGAAGGCCUGGCCUCAUCUCCUAACAACAUCUGUGAGGAGGGGGUUGGGGUUUCAACGUAGGAAUAUUGGGGGACGUAAACAUUUAAACUGUAGCAUUGUCUAUUUUUUCAUUAUUUUCAAAUAAGUGUAGAGGAAGUCAUGGAUUCCAUGGAAGAGUUGAAUGAUUAUUCUAGGAUGACCCUGUGUCUGAAGGAGACCUUACCCGGUAAACUGAUUGUAGGUAAAAUUUUCACCUAGAGUACAAAGCUAAAAUCUGUAAAUGCAGUUUACCUAGACGGAGUCCUGUCCGGUGGUACAGUGGUGUCACUGCGAUUGGUCUUCUGAAUGAUUGGUGAAGUGUGGUGCCAGUGUGACCUUAUUGAAGAUUUUGGAGGUUGGGAAUUCCUGUUGUGGCACAGCAAGUUAAGGAUAUGGUGUUGCCACAGCUGUGGCGUGGGUUACAGCUGUGGCUCAGAUUCCAUUCCUGGCCUGGGAACUUCCAUAUGCUGUGGGUGCAGUCACAAAAGGAAAAAAAAAAAGGUUUUGGGGAUUGGAAUUGGCCUUUUCCUAAGUUAGAGACCUGGUCUUAUUGUGACACACAAAUUUGUGAGAGAAUGGAUGAGGGGAGGGAGACUGCUGGAACUCAUUAAUAAUUUCAAAUUCUGUUUACAUACAGAGAGAUAGGAUUGGGGGGCACAGUACGGGAGAAAUAAGUUAUUAAGAUGCCAGAUUUUGGCGGGUGUGUGCAUGGAUGCCUAUUAAAUUAUUGAAAAGAACUAAAAAGUUUCUGUGGCUUGGCUGUAGAACUUUGGGAAAUUAAUUACAGAUGCAACAGAUAGGCUACAGUCAGGAAUAGGUUGACUCUUCUGAAGGGAGAUGGAGCAGGCUGUCGUGGCAGAAGAUAAAUAGUACAUGGCAUCGGUUUUGGCCAGUGUGGUUGGGUUUGUGAGUCUGUGGCAUGCUUCACCUGUCCGCACUGUACAAGGAGCUGCUGGUGGUGUUGUCUCUCAGGUGUGUAUGUGGGUAGUGAUCACUGUCAGAAAUAACGUCUUUGCACAUCGGGGGAGUCAGGUUUUAUGUCUUCUCACAGGCCUGUGUGUUUUGGAAAGAUUCCCGCUGAACGUGGGAACAGUGGAUGGAGGCCUUUUCUCUGGUCUGUCGCACUGUGGACCCUCACGGAAGUCCUGUCAUGUAGGUAAGGCAGGUGCUGUUGACAAAUGGAGAAUGUGAGAUACAAGCCAAGUCCGACCUGGUGUCUUUCAGUUACCGAGCGGUGGACCCGCACCCGCGACAGGAGCCUGGGCCCUGCGUUCUGCCGAUAGAAGAAAUCUGACAGUUUUUAUGAAGAAGGUGCUUUGGAUUUUUGAGGUAGAAAGUAAAGUUUAAGGACCUCGGAGGACUGGCCCUGGGCUCCUUGGAGCAGAACUUGUCUUGUGAUCGUGUCAGACUGGGGACAUAAAACUAUUGGGAACAAUUUCUUCCACUGUUGAAUUGGGGUUCAUUUCUAGUCAUUGGAUGUACUUUUACUUGAGCCUGCAUUCUUUGUGAAUAGUGGUGGUGAGGAGGAGAUGGAAUCGGAAGGGAAACUUUUAAGGAUUACUAAAUAGUGGAUUUGGUCUUAUUUUAUGGAAGUGUACAUCUGUAAAAUGUAGAGAUGGAGAAAUUGUACCUGGAACAUGAUUCUACCGAGGGUGCUUGGGUUACUGCUGUAGUGUGAAUCUGCUGUCUCUUGCCUAGUGGGUAGGAAGUGUGAUAGUAUAUAAAGAAGUUACACCUCCACAGGAAACCAACAAACAGACUGGAAGACAUCACAUCGGGUGGUCUUUAUUUUCUCUGUCGAACCUGUUUAUAUUCCCCAACUUCUUUAGAGUGAGCAUAUAUCAUUUUUAUAGUCUUCUGUUUUCUAGUUUUUAAACAGUAAAUGUUUAUAUGCUUUUUUUUUUUUUGCUCAAAUGAGAGUUUGGAAAAAUGUGAACCAUAGCACUUUUAAAGAGUAGUUUAAACACUAGGUGAUAUCAAAGUAUUUUGCUUUUUAGGCAGUUACAUUAAUCAGUUUGAUAAACUAUUUUUUAUAAUCUUAUGGGUCAAGUUGUGGGUGUAUCAUGGUUUGUUUUUUGUUUUAUUUCAGACAAAAUGCAAGAUCCUUAACCCACUGCACCACAAGAGAACUCCUGAAUUAAGUGUUUGGGGUUUUUCUUUGCAUUAGAAGUUGGUCAUUUAGCUCUCCUGAUCAGUAAAUUAAUUUUAGUCCCCCUGAGAAGCAACUUGGUUUACAUGUAGUAAUUACUUAUUAAUAAAUGACCGAAAAAUAGCAUUCUGACUUAUAGUGAAAACUAGAUUUACAUAUGGUUAAAACUAGGUUUACAUAUAGUAAUUACUUAUUAAUAAAUGACCAAAAAAUAGCAUUCUGACUUAUAGUGAAAACUAAAUUUAAGGAUCUCCUCAUCUGCUUCUGUUUCCUUGGCAGGGAUCCGAUAAGAAAAAUAAAAUAAGAAAAAUCAAAUUGUUAGUGAUUCUUUAAGGUAGUUGUUUUAAUCCAGGGACAUUGGGCUCAUUAGUUUCUCUCAUUUGUUUGCUCAUUGACUCACUGUCUGUCUUGUCCUGGGCACUUUACUAAAUGCUGGGGACACAAGUAACUGAUAGUGUCCCUGCCAGUAAAGACUAUAGCUUUUGGUUUGGGAGAGCAGUCACAGAGAUGAUAGCCUAGGUAUGUGAAGGUAUCCCUCCCCCCCCCGUUUUCUAGUUUUUAACUAAAAAGGCAGCAUGACUAAUUUGUUUGUAUGAAGAACUUAAUGCUUUUGAUGAUUUUAAGAGGAGCUGAUGACUUCAUACUUAUUUUUCUGACUGCAAAAAUAUUGAAAAUCAUUAACCUAAAGAAUUUGCUUCUCUAAGGAGUAUUGCUUACUGAGGUAGAUGACGUAGGCAUUCGGAUUUAUAUCAGAUUUGCUCUGGGGACAUAAUUAAGAACUCUUGUAUUGACUUUUAGGAUGGAGAUACUGUCUUGUUUUGCCUUGUAUCCUCCGUGCAGUUGACCUCUGAGCAACAAGGGUUUGGACUGCACGCGUCCACUUAUGCAUGGAUAUUUCCGACAGUGACUACUACAGUACAGUAGUGAUUACUGCAGUCCUACAUGGUCCAUGGUUGGUUGAACCAGCCGAUGUGGGGAAACGACAGAUAGGGAGGGCCACCUGUACGUCAUGCUUGAGUUCACCCCCAUCUUUAAGGAUCAGCUGUGCCAGUAAACGAAAGGCUAUUUCAUGUUUAAGCUUACUUUUAAGAACUUUAAUAUCGAUGCAUUAUAUUGUAUGAAAAGUUACCUCUUGUCUAGUACAUAUAUACACACAAAUAUUAAAUAUAUAUAGACUUACGGUUUUUCUUAGAAUCUUAAGAUCUUAUUCAGGCCAGUGAGCUGUCCCACUAAAACAUUUGAUACAGAAUUAUUGGGCUACUCUUAGAGUACCUGUAGUCACCGAUAGCUUUAAUUGAGGCAAAAAUGUGCUUGUAACUUCAUCCCUUUUUCCUAGUCCUUCUCUGUGGAACAUUAGAGAACUAGUUUGUCUUCUUUCACAGGAUAACCCUUUAAAUAUUUGAAUGUGAUUACUCCUUCAGCAGAUAUUUCUUUAGCACCUGCACAUGCAAGAUGUGGUCCUAGGCAUUGUGAGAGAUCCAGAGGUAAUUAAGAGGCGUAGUCUGUUUACAAAGAACUGGAACAGAGAAAGAGCCAUGGGUUUAUUGAAAAGAGUGGUUUUGCUUGUGAUCAGGAAAGCUUCUUGGCAGCAAUAACAUUUAAAUUAGAUUAGGGAUGGGGCAGUCUGGAUGGAACGCAUAAUCAAAACCUAGGGAUGAGGAAGUACAGUGCAGGUUAGAGAGGUAGCAAGAGGCCCAGCUUGACUGUUCCACAGAUUCUUCUCAAGGAUUUUAAAAAUGUUCAUUGCUGUAUUCUCAGCACCUGGAGGAGUGUUGGCACAUAAUAGGGGCUCAGUAAAUAUACGUUGAAUGAAUGAGCAAAUGGUCACAUUUGGGAAAUACUGAAAUUUUUCUUGCAGAGUCAUAAAGUGCUGUAGGAUACUGAACACUUUGAUAAACCCUUUGGAGGAAAAAAAAAAGUUCCUGACUCAGACUUCUUUGAUUAUAGAAUCUUGCCUAUUAAGAGCUCCUUUGAAAUCCUUGAGAAGUUACGCUGGGGUCUCUGUGGUAGAGGCGACGCAAGGCCGGAAAGUGUUUUCUUCAAGCUAAACACACCCAUUUUCUUCAGUCUUUCUCCCCUUGACCUUCGGCUUCUAAACUCCUCACUCGUCUGGUCUCUCUCCCUGCAAGCAUUCGAGCUCGUAUGUGUUCUUAAAAUGUGGUCCUCAAAACAGAACACAAUCCUCCAGUUGUGAGCUCAUCAGGGAAGGGGAAUGGGACUGCUCCCGUCCUUGAUCUGGAUACUCUUCUUCUAAUGAAGCCUAAGAUUGUAUUUUCUUUUUAGCAGCUGAGUCACUGCCUUGGCUCAUAUUCAGUUCUCAUAUUAAUUUACAAGAAGUUCUUUGAGUAGAUUCAGAGAGAUUUCCUAUUAGUAGAGCUAACAAAUGAAUGUCUGUUUUUUUCUGAUUGAGUCUAGGCUGUUUUCUCAGAAGUACUCGUCAUUCUUAAGCUUUCUGAAGUCUG